rnacentral:rRNA from 1 species
AAUAGAUACCCCGGUAGUCCACGCCGUAAACGAUGGAUACUAGCUGUUUGGUAGUAAUACUGAGUGGCUAAGCGAAAGUGAUAAGUAUCCCACCUGGGGAGUACGGGCGCAAGCCUGAAACUCAAAGGAAUUGACGGGGGCCCGCACAAGCGGUGGAGCAUGUGGUUUAAUUCGAUGAUACGCGAGGAACCUUACCAGGGCUUAAAUGUAGUUUGACGUUAUUGGAAACAGUAAUUUCUUCGGACAAAUUACAAGGUGCUGCAUGGUUGUCGUCAGCUCGUGCCGUGAGGUGUCAGGUUAAGUCCUAUAACGAGCGCAACCCUGUUGUUAGUUGCCAGCGAGUAAUGUCGGGAACUCUAGCAAGACUGCCAGUGUAAACUGCGAGGAAGGUGGGGAUGACGUCAAAUCAUCACGGCCCUUACGUCCUGGGCCACACACGUGCUACAAUGGCCGGUACAGAGAGCAGCCACUAUGCGAAUAGGAGCGAAUCUAUAAAGCCGGUCACAGUUCGGAUCGGAGUCUGCAACUCGACUCC